rnacentral:misc_RNA from 1 species
AGGAAACAAAGAACUGAGGAGAGUUUGUUAGGACCAGAUUGGAGAAAUAUUAAAGGAACUGGAUUAGUCCCUGGAAGCAGUAGCAGGCAGCCUCCUCGAAAGCAAUUUAUAGAAUCAACAAGCCUGAGUGAUUCUAAAAGCACUGAGGCAUCUACCAACAUGUCCAUGGAUGAGCUCUGUGGUGUUGAUUCUGCUCCCUCCACUUCGAGAGCGGUUGAGAUGGAUUAUCCAAGACAUCCAUCGGCAGCAUCUUCAGCUUUGGUAGAAUUAACUACACGGCUUGAUUUCUUUAAGGAGAGGCGUUCU